rnacentral:rRNA from 1 species
GACGAACGCUGGCGGCGUGCUUAACACAUGCAAGUCGAACGGAAAGGCCCUGCUUUUGUGGGGUGCUCGAGUGGCGAACGGGUGAGUAACACGUGAGUAACCUGCCCUUGACUUUGGGAUAACUUCAGGAAACUGGGGCUAAUACCGGAUAGGAGCUCCUGCUGCAUGGUGGGGGUUGGAAAGUUUCGGCGGUUGGGGAUGGACUCGCGGCUUAUCAGCUUGUUGGUGGGGUAGUGGCUUACCAAGGCUUUGACGGGUAGCCGGCCUGAGAGGGUGACCGGCCACAUUGGGACUGAGAUACGGCCCAGACUCCUACGGGAGGCAGCAGUGGGGAAUAUUGAACAAUGGGCGGAAGCCUGAUGCAGCAACGCCGCGUGCGGGAUGACGGCCUUCGGGUUGUAAACCGCUUUCGCAUGUGACGAAGCGUGAGUGACGGUAAUGGGUAAAGAAGCACCGGCUAACUACGUG